GUCGAGCGGUAGCACAGAGAGCUUGCUCUCGGGUGACGAGCGGCGGACGGGUGAGUAAUGUCUGGGAAACUGCCUGAUGGAGGGGGAUAACUACUGGAAACGGUAGCUAAUACCGCAUAAUGUCGCAAGACCAAAGUGGGGGACCUUCGGGCCUCAUGCCAUCAGAUGUGCCCAGAUGGGAUUAGCUAGUAGGUGGGGUAACGGCUCACCUAGGCGACGAUCCCUAGCUGGUCUGAGAGGAUGACCAGCCACACUGGAACUGAGACACGGUCCAGACUCCUACGGGAGGCAGCAGUGGGGAAUAUUGCACAAUGGGCGCAAGCCUGAUGCAGCCAUGCCGCGUGUGUGAAGAAGGCCUUCGGGUUGUAAAGCACUUUCAGCGGGGAGGAAGGCGUUGAGGUUAAUAACCUUGUCGAUUGACGUUACCCGCAGAAGAAGCACCGGCUAACUCCGUGCCAGCAGCCGCGGUAAUACGGAGGGUGCAAGCGUUAAUCGGAAUUACUGGGCGUAAAGCGCACGCAGGCGGUCUGUCAAGUCGGAUGUGAAAUCCCCGGGCUCAACCUGGGAACUGCAUUCGAAACUGGCAGGCUAGAGUCUUGUAGAGGGGGGUAGAAUUCCAGGUGUAGCGGUGAAAUGCGUAGAGAUCUGGAGGAAUACCGGUGGCGAAGGCGGCCCCCUGGACAAAGACUGACGCUCAGGUGCGAAAGCGUGGGGAGCAAACAGGAUUAGAUACCCUGGUAGUCCACGCCGUAAACGAUGUCGAUUUGGAGGUUGUGCCCUUGAGGCGUGGCUUCCGGAGC
rnacentral:rRNA from 1 species